GCCGAUUGCUGCUGCUCGUCUCCCCUGGCGCUUCCAACUUCUGUUCGGCGCAGCGGUGGCGGCAGUUCUGGGCUCGCAGCGCGCUCGGCUCCGGCGUGAGGGCCCCGCGGCGGAACAGGUGCCAGGCUCACUGCCCCAGGGAAUAAGUGAGUGAUCCAGAGGACAUGGCAUCUCGAAACCAGUCUCCACGGCACGUCCUGACUCCGGAAACAAAGGAACAACUUAAUGAUGAAAUCAAAUCAAGCAGAAGUUUUUUUGCAUGCGAUUCAAGAAUGCCCUUUAUCCAGUCUGCACUGAAAUUGCAUUACCUGGAGUUAAGGAGGAAGUGUACUCAGUUGAGCUUGGAAGCAAUGUUACCAGAAAAGGAUUAACAAAUCAUAAGACAAAAUCCUUGGAGCUUUAUUGGUAAUAGCCAAAAGAAAGAAAGAAAAAGGAAGGAAGGAAGGAAGGAA